AAUAAGACAGAUAUUAGGUUAACAAUCAUUUUAAAUGUGGCUCAAUUAUCAAAUUCAUUUAAAGGUCCAGAAAUUCGUAAGGUUUAAUAAUCAAUCUUAAACCCAAUCUUGACCGAUCUUACUGUGAAAUUAGCAACAGAAGAUCCAUGAUGACAAGCUGGUCCUGCCCACUCCUGCCAUUAACGAGCUGACCCCCUUCCCUCGCAGCCUUCCCAGAAGACACGGGAUAUCGUCCCACACAGAGCUGCUAUGACUCACAUGCGAGUCCGUACAAAUACAGGAAGAAGUACAUAAAUACUACUCCUCUCCUCAACACCUUUCUUCAAGCUGGUGUUUUCCACCCAUGGUGUCUGCAAAUGGGAAAAACCUUCUCCUGCCAAAAUGCGAAAUGUACAAAAUGAUUAACCUCCAAGGGCGCAGUGUUGCAAAGACCUUGGAGAUGAGAUGCCCGUCUGAGCCUUCAAAGGGCCUCCCCGCAAGACCAAGGAUGCCCACAAAAUGGGAGCAAGUGACAAUGUCACAUCUCUCAGGUCUGCCGCCCUCCUCCCCUGGCAUCUCCUUGUUCCCAUCCCAACGCUCUGACUUUGACCCAGGCUCACUGACACCCCUCGGCCACGCCUACAGAGCCAUGAAGACUGACAGCUCUCGGGGACCACCCACAGGAGCCACAGGUCUGCCUACAUGUGGACAAAGUCUGACUCUGGACCCAACAGCUCCUGCACCCGUUUAUCCAGAAGGACAGCGUCUGCCUCAGGAGGGUGCAAGUCCGCGCUCCAGAAUUGGUGCCCUUUCCCAGGCAAACCAGCUACAAAACUUCGCAGAGUAUCAGACCACACCUGCCCCAUUAAACAGAAAUGUAAAGGAAA